UGCCAAAUAACUCCUAUCCCUACCUCCGCGUGGCACCGGCCGGACUACGAGCAACCUUAGGAAAGAUCGGGUAACUAACCCCUGUGGAAGUUUUGAUUGUGGGCUGACAAAAAAGAAGA
rnacentral:ribozyme from 1 species